rnacentral:rRNA from 1 species
GACGAACGCUGGCGGCGUGCUUAACACAUGCAAGUCGAACGGAAAGGCCCUGCUUGCAGGGUACUCGAGUGGCGAACGGGUGAGUAACACGUGGGUGAUCUGCCCUGCACUUCGGGAUAAGCCUGGUAAACUGGGUCUAAUACCUGAUGGGAGCCAUUUUUAGUGUGAUGGUUGGAAAGUUUUUUCGGUUUAGGGUGAGCUCGCGGCCUAUCAGCUUGUUGGUGGGGUAAUGGCCUACCAAGGCGGCGACGGGUAGCCGGCCUGCGGGGGUGGACGGCCACACUGGGACUGAGAUACGGCCCAGACUCCUACGGGAGGCAGAAGGGGGGAAUAUUGCACGAUGGGCGCAAGCCUGAUGCAGAGACGCCGCGUGGGGGAUGACGGCCUUCGGGUUGUAAACUCCUUUCGCUAGGGACGAAGCUUUUUGUGACGGUACCUAGAGAAGAAGCACCGGCUAACUACGUG